CCUGAAUGUAAUUUAGAACGUAAAUUUAUAUUUACAUUUACAUUUAUAUAACAAAAAUAAAUAGAUAAUGAACAAUGGUAUGCAUUGACUAAGAUAAAUAAGAUAAAGAUGCAACAACUACAAAUCACAACUACGACCACCCCUCCCAACACUCACACAUCACACACCCACACACAACUACAAAAGCCUCCAUUCCUCAUCGCGCAAACUCAGUCCACAAUCUCCCCGCCCUCCCCGCCCUCGUCGCCAGCGACUCCGACUCCGACUCCGGCAACGCCUGCACCAACCUCCCACAGAUACUUUGCCGCCUCCUUCGCACAGCAGGCACGCUUGAUACUACUGCUCCCAGCACUACCACCACCACCACCACUAUUACUAUUACACGGCCGCGGCCGAGGCAGCGGCAGAGCAAACUUCGCCGUACCAUAGCCGGCAUUCAUGAACGAAGAGGGAGUGGAGGGCGGCGGUGACUGUGGCUGCGGCUGCAGUUGCACUUGCAUCUGUAUCGGUUGUUGUUGUGGUACUUGAGAGACGAGAAACGAGUCAGCAACCUGUGUAUCUGGGGCGACAACGGUGUUGCCAUCAUCCUCGUUGCUUCGGAGGGUGUGGAGGGAGGAGGAAGGCGACGAAGAAGAGAAUGAGAGGAGUUCUUCGCGCACGGUGGUGUGUAGGGCGAAGUCGUUGGAGGGGGUGCGGGUACGUUUGCGGGAGGUUCGGGUGGUGAUUGUUGUGGUUGAUGGAGUGGAGGGUUUCGAGGGUGGUGCAGAUGAAUUUGCGGUUGCGGUGUUGUUGGUUGGGUGGGAGAUUGCGUGAGAAGAGGAAAGGUGGAAAGAGCGGGGCAGUGCACCGGAGAGCUCGCAGAGGCCCUGAGCAGCUUCGUGGGCUAGGUCAAUAGAAGACGUGUCCAGCGCGAAGCUGGAAAGUUGUUGGUCUCCCAUAUUAUUUAGCUCCGCGCAGACGGAGGUAGAGAAUGAUUCUGGUGAUGCGUAGAAAUCUGGCCAGUUCCCCUCAUCGAUGGUGGGUACGCUCGUUACCGUGGUAAACGACGAGGUCUUCCGGUAUUCCUUCGCCGCAGGAGCGGCGAGCGAAUAAUUCUGCAUGUUCGCGCAUCGACGAGUCGCCCGCAUAGCCAAUCUUGGCUGCGCAGGCGCACAGGUCCCUGAUGCGACGGAUGAGAUGGAGGAAGAUCGUGACGAACGGGAUGAACGGGACGACGAUGAUGCAAGAGAAGGCACGUCAGAGAUCAUGGACUCUGGUGACGAAGUUGACGAAGCAGAUCGGGCCAGGGAGGAGCGGCGGCCUAGGUUGGAAUAUGUCUCGGUAGGGGCAGUCUUAUUAAAAGUACAAUUGGGGCGGGAGUCGAAGGCAGUACGUUGUGUGCAGAUACUGCGCGCUUGGGACAUGGCGGCACAGAUAGAGGGUUUCCGAGACAGAAAUCCACCAACGCUCACAGCAGGAGUGUUGACGGUGUUUGUCUGUGGGGUCAUCUGAGGAGUAGGGAGAGAAGGGAGCUGGGCAUAUGGGUUUGGCUCGAGUGUUGGGAAAACAGUUCUCGAUCCCGGGGUUGUCUGGUCAUGAGUUGGUAGUGGUGCUGCGGGGGAUGGUGGUGGUACAUUGGACAAUCCGUCCGGGGUCGGCGUAGGAAUUUGUGACGGUGUGACGCUGAUGCCAGACAUGACAUGAUCAGUGACACCACGAUACCGGUCGGAAUCCAGAUCGACGGUGUCAAGUUCCGCAGUGAGCACAGGGAUAAUGUUCCGCCAGGUGAGGCCUUCGCCGUUUGGAGAACCACCCGCGUUGGGCGUGUACUUGAGAACAAUGUCCGUCCAACGCUGGAAGAUGGCUUCCGAAAUGUGAAGUUUCCAGCCCACAGCCUCGAGGAACGCCAGCUCAUUUUGAUUGAUCUCAAGUGUAUUCAAACCCGAAAUUUUGCUCCACGCUCUGGCGGAGUAAUUUCGAUCCUGGAGAUACUUAGAGGCCAAAAUAAGCGCAGAAAGGAACAUUCGCCUGCCACAUUGCAUAGCACGAGAGCACGGGUGGUUCCUGGGUUGCUCCAUGGUGAAAUCUUGUUUAGGUACAUGAGGCUUAAUCAUGAUAAGAUAGUACAGGGCAACUUGAAGAGUCGAAUAGCUGGUUCUUGACCGUCGAAGGGUUUCCUGGAUGAAAGUGCGCAGUGGCAAAACCCCCCUUGAACCCAAGGGAGAAUCAUUGCGGAGCGCUACCACUGAUAACGGCCAGAUAGUUUCGACGAUCUGAGACGCAGAGUCGACAAGAUUGUCAACGAAAUUGACUUUACGAUCACACUGGCGGACCAGCGAGGGUGGGGCCCGCGAACAGGCAGAUGACAAUGAGGUGUUACUAUUGGUACGUCGGGGAUUUUGCCGCAAUUCAGGAGCAACCGCAGCGUCAGCGACUUUAGGGCCACAACCUCUUCCAGAACGGAAGCAGUGGAAGUUCGAUUCACUUGACAAGCUCAACGUUCUAGCUCCUCCAGCCGGUUGCUGUGAUGAUGAGUCACCAGCUCCUAAGACCUCAUUUUCCCAGAUCACGUCGACAGAACUAGCUGACGACGAGAGUGAAUAUUGGGAAGAGGAGUCGAGGGAGAAGAUUGAGGACGAGGAAGACGGGGCAGACGAGGCGAUUGACGAAGUGCAAGGGUGCGGGAGAGGUUGCAGGACACUCUUUGGAAGGCUCGGGUUGGCAAGGUUGAAACCCAAGAUGUCCAUUACAGGCAUAUUUUCGAGGGAAGUAUAUCAAGAGCGGUCGCAAAAUGCACCUGCUGAUGAGAUGAAGGAAAACAGUAGGUUGGCAGUAGAGAUUUUCCUUUGUUGCGGCGAGGGGAUGGGGGAAGGGUAGUGGACAGGGAGUGCAAAGCUAUUUAAAUAUCGUUCAGCAAUGUGGCCGGACGAUGGAACGGGCGAUUCGGUCAAAACGCCAGUGCGUUUAUUGUCUGUUUUGCGGAAGAGGGGGAAAUAAACCGUUUAGAUAAAGGCCGUGUAAGAUAUGCAGUAGGAUAGUCCCGUCUUGGUAAUUGUUCGAGAGGAGACGGGGAGCCCUCUCUAUACUAUGGCAGAACCCAGGGUGAAAGCAGAGGUACUUCCUAAGUUUGAUGUAAGGGAUGGGCUAAGGGAUAAGCCGCAAUUAGGUUGAGGUGAAUCGCGAUUCCAGGCAGGAAAUAAACGAGAAAAACGAAGGCAGAUUGGUGGACGAUGUAAAUUGCGCCGCAAGAAAAAAAAAGGGGGGGAGAGGGUAAGAGUAUUAUUGGUGUCAAGGACGAUAUCCGAUCACCAGCAGUAGACGAUUCCAAAGUUGUAUGUAUGUUGGUAGGCGAUAUGUAGAGGUAGGCAUAAGGGAGUGGAAGGGAGGAGAGGCAAGAGGGAGAGCUGAGGUCGGGUAGGGAUGUGAUAAGAGGGCAACAACAAGAUUAUAACUGGAUCUAUAUGCAGGUACCAAGCAGCGGAGAGCGCAGGUUGAUAUGUAUACCGAGGCGGGUGGCGUGCACUCGGCUCAUCAUACAAGGGCAACGUGACUCUUCAGGGGCGGAGGCACCCGAUCGACUCUAGACGCGGCCAGUCAUAGUCACAGCCAUUAUAGUCGUAGUUGUAGUAGUAGCAACGCGUAGGAAUGCAACUUUGGAAUCUGCUGAGAUGGCGAUCGGAUCGGAGGAAUAUGACAGAACAGGGUACAUCGUCACCCUGCAGCCAACACACAAACACGCGGGAAGGGGGUUGGAAGAAGAAGAAAAAACGAGGCUGGUGGUUGAAGCAGGCAACACCAGCUAAGGCUUGCGCUUAUCCAGCAGACCUCUUCGCUCUAGCUAGGUAACAGGAUGGUUUCUCUGGCACGGUAGGCACGCGCUGUUUCAAAGGGUCGUCAAGGGAAGUAAAAACCAACCCGAUCUCCCGACCGUUGUGGCCAGGCAGAUCGAGUGCACGGGGGUGGUGUGAGCUGGGUAUUGGAGACUCCGGAUACGAAGGAAAGUUGAGGCGAGACGAGGCGAGGCGGCGAGGAGGAGGACAGGAGGAAGAGAGAAUAGGUCGGGGGAACUAGAGUGCAAUCCAAUAAAUAUACAGAAAAGAUCAAAUCAGAAGAAAAAAGAAUUAAAAAAAAGAACGAAAUAAAUGACAAAUAAAAAGUGGAAAUAUUAAUAAAUAGAAAACGCAACAAUGCGUAAGGGAGCGAAACUGAUACUGGAGUGGAUGGCUGGCGAGGGUGAGUUUGUUCGUCGCUGUGGAGAGGGCCAGGCGGAGUUGGCGAUGACUGAUAGCACGGCGCUGAUUUUGUUAGCGGAGCUUCCAACGGCGAAUAACAGCCUGACGGUGACUGCGAUGAUAGUUGAUUCUCUGUUCUGUUCUUCUUUCCACCCCAACCCCCAAGAAUCAAAUCAUAAGCUAGCUAGGGGAGAGAAAAAAGGAGGGUGGGUAGGUUCAACGGAAUGAAUGCGGGAGAACUCUUUUUCUAUAUUUCUUUCUUUCUUGAUAUUUUCAAUUCUUGUGCUCGAUAUAGACACUAGCCCAUUUUUUUUUUUAAUUUUUUAAUUUUUUUUUGUUAUUGAUCUUUCUCUUUUGGUGAUGGGCUGGUGGAAGAGGAAAAGAAAAAAGUCUCUGGAAAGGAAAGGGACAAGCGGCAAGAAGCGACCAUGGGACGUAGGUAAAUCCCAGGCAGCAUCGGCUUUGGGGGGGAAUGGAAUGGAACGCGAACAGGGUUCGUGGGAAGUGUCGCUUUGCCGCCAUCGCCGCCUCCGGGAACAGGCCAAGUUUCCGGGUUCAGGGCAGAUAUCCACCACCGUAGGCAUCGGGGUGCAGGCAGCAGAGGGGCAAAGCAACAAAAAGGGGCUUGGGGCUCGGAGUUUCUUCGGAGAAAUGUCCAGGAUGGCUGGCUGGCUGGCUGGCUGGGGAUGUGAUGGAAUGAUUCAUGGUAGCGGCUUGUUGCCUUUGCCUUUGCUUAUGCGUUUGCUUACCUGAAAGAAACUGGAAGGACUUUCUUCUGUCUAAAUAAAGAAUUUCAAAGACGGCUGGUCCGUAGGGUCUGCAGGCAGGCUGUUGCUGGUGAAAUUAUGCCUGCAACCAUCGAAAGAGGAACGAACAAGUUGGAGAAGGAAAAAGGGAAAGGCAAGGGUAGAAAGAAGAGAGUGUAAGAGAGAGUGUUUGUGGUACGAAUUAAAAGGCAAUACAAAGCCUGUCGGCUCAAAGGGAAAAUAAAAAGUGAUUUAUGCAAUGGGGUAGGCAAGGAACAGUGGAAGCAAGUAAAUAAGUAUCAUAUCAUUGGCAAGAGAACAAGAGGGGAGAUUUUGCGAAUGGAGGAAGAAUUGGCCGGAGCCUGAGGCAACAACUGUCUGGGCUUUUGUCUGUAUUAUACGAUGGAUGGAUGGAUGAAUGCAGAGGCAGGCUCUCUACAAGCAGCUGCGUGCGGCCGGGAGAAGCUCGAUGACACGGUUCAUAUUGACAGCAAUUUCCAUGAGAAAGAGAAAAGAAGGGAGGAGGAGGAAGCAAGAGAACUCAGAACUCGACGUCUACAAUCGGCGGCGGGGAAUCUUGCAACCCCAUGCUGACCACCAGCAAAUCAGUUUAUAUCCCUGGAUGGUUGAAUACGAUAUUUUAUUCUCCUCUUUCACUGCUUACGGAUGUCGUUGUCGACGAUACUAGGGCUAUUGUUCUUUUUAAAAAUAAACGAAGAAUGAAUGUUUAAUACAGAUUGUAUGUGUCAACGAAAGAGUUAAAAAAAAAAUCAGCCGAAACAUCAACCCCAGAAAUACAUCAUCUGUCCUCUCCUCCCCACCAUUUUCAAGCGCACGGAUUUGCCCAUCUUGCGGAUGCCUCGAGGGUUCUCGUCACCCUUCAGGUUCCAACGCAGCGAUCACCGCCCUGAACCACGAAUCCCUCUCCCCAAGGGCCCCCCACCUCAACAUGCAACCGCUACCAGCCUCCCUUGGUCCUGGGUUUGAUUGGUGGAUUAUCAAUAAUAGUGUCCCACAGCUAGGGACAAGGGGACACCCGCACGCAGGCUGCUAUCGAUGCCUGCCAGCAUCUGCGUGUGGACUUUGCCAGAGGAAGAGUGGAGUUUCAACAACUCCUCGUGCGAGUCAACGCUAGCAUAAUAGCAUGCAUGGAGCAUACAUUUUAACGAUGUUCGAUGUCCGGGAGAACACGUGAUGGUGAUUUGAAAGGGGGGGUUCCGAUCUAUGCAGAGAAUAUCUCCCCCCCCCCCAAAAAAAAAAAAAAAAAAUUCACUUCUCAAACCUCCAGUCCGUUGGAACCAGUCUCCAGCCGUCGGGAGGUAAUCGGAACCAGCCAUCCAUCAUGGCAUCCAUGGAUCCGUCAUCGUCGUCAUCGGGCGACGAGCCAAUGACUCAAAACAAGUGGCCGCCCCGCCUCGAGACGCCAAAACAACAAAGGAAAGGAACCUCCAUCCAGCGAUCGGGGCUUGGGAAAGGGCACUCAAAACUGCAACCAGGCUCGUGUGGGGAUUGGUGGGUUGGCUUUUGGCCACCACUACCUGUGUGUUUUUUCUUUCGGGACUAGCUUCGAUUGGGUGUGUGGGGCUUGGUAACAAGUCUGAGUUGAUUAGUCCUUACAGGAAGUCUCGAGUCAGACCGUUCUCGAGUCAGCUGAUGUUGCUUGCCUUGGCCGGGCAGGGCUGUGUCGAUCCAUGAACGCAGUCGCAGUCUGAAGAAUGCUCUCGUAUGAUCCCAGAUGUUGUGAUCGAAUUGUAUGAUGAUGUUUACUCUUGCUUGACUCAUUUGUUUACUUCUGGAGUUGAGGAGAACGAAAAAUGAGGGAGCAAAAGGGUUUGAAAAAGAAAAAAAAAAGUCACCCUUUCUUCGAACAGAACCUCGAUCACCCUCGUGUUUUCUCUCUCAUUUCUGCAUGGCGCGGGCAUCUAAAAAUAAGAAACUGACCUACUGCGUACUAAACCCAUCUGUGCUACUCUUGAUAUCUAAAUUCAUCCCUGACUCGAGCAUCACGAGCCUUGAUUUGUAAAAAUACAAACACCAAGCAACAAAAUCAGUCAGUCAGCCAGCCAGCCAGCCAGCCAGCCAUCAGCACGAAAUUAUUCUGUGUAGUCCUCGUAAAAUCUCACAGCCCCGGAAAUGUUCACAAAUCUUUUCUUUUCAGCUUUCCCCGAGAAGAAGAUCAUAUCGGUGACGG
rnacentral:sRNA from 1 species